UGGGGAAUUUUGGACAAUGGGCGAAAGCCUGAUCCAGCAAUGCCGCGUGUGUGAAGAAGGCCUUCGGGUUGUAAAGCACUUUUGUCCGGAAAGAAAUCCUUGGCUCUAAUACAGUCGGGGGAUGACGGUACCGGAAGAAUAAGCACCGGCUAACUACGUGCCAGCAGCCGCGGUAAUACGUAGGGUGCAAGCGUUAAUCGGAAUUACUGGGCGUAAAGCGUGCGCAGGCGGUUUGCUAAGACCGAUGUGAAAUCCCCGGGCUCAACCUGGGAACUGCAUUGGUGACUGGCAGGCUAGAGUAUGGCAGAGGGGGGUAGAAUUCCACGUGUAGCAGUGAAAUGCGUAGAGAUGUGGAGGAAUACCGAUGGCGAAGGCAGCCCCCUGGGCCAAUACUGACGCUCAUGCACGAAAGCGUGGGGAGCAAACAGGAUUAGAUACCCUGGUAGUCCACGCCCUAAACGAUGUCAACUAGUUGUUGGGGAUUCAUUUCCUUAGUAACGUAGCUAACGCGUGAAGUUGACCGCCUGGGGAGUACGGUCGCAAGAUUAAAACUUCAAAUGAAUUGACGGGGUCAUAGCUGUUUCC
rnacentral:rRNA from 1 species